AUUCCUACGGGAGGCAGCAGUGGGGAAUUUUGGACAAUGGGCGCAAGCCUGAUCCAGCAAUGCCGCGUGCAGGAAGAAGGCCUUCGGGUUGUAAACUGCUUUUGUACGGAACGAAACGGUCUGGGUUAAUACCCUGGGCUAAUGACGGUACCGUAAGAAUAAGCACCGGCUAACUACGUGCCAGCAGCCGCGGUAAUAAU
rnacentral:rRNA from 1 species